rnacentral:rRNA from 1 species
UCCAGAGGGUGCGAUCGUUAAUCGGAAUUACUGGGCGUAAAGCGUGCGUAGGCGGCCGUGUAAGUCGGGUGUGAAAGCCCCGGGCUCAACCUGGGAAUUGCAUUCGAGACUGCACGGCUGGAGUGCGGAAGAGGGAAGCGGAAUUUCCGGUGUAGCGGUGAAAUGCGUAGAUAUCGGAAGGAACAUCAGUGGCGAAAGCGGCUUCCUGGUCCAGCACUGACGCUCAGGCACGAAAGCGUGGGGAGAAAACAGG